AUACGGAGGGUGCGAGCGUUAAUCGGAAUUACUGGGCGUAAAGCGUACGUAGGCGGUUUGCUAAGUCAGAUGAGAAAGCCCCGGGCUUAACCUGGGAACUGCAUUUGAUACUGGCAGACUAGAGUAUGAUAGAGGGGGGUAGAAUUCCUGGUGUAGCGGUGAAAUGCGUAGAUAUCAGGAGGAAUACCAGUGGCGAAGGCGGCCCCCUGGAUCAAUACUGACGCUGAGGUACGAAAGCGUGGGGAGCGAACAGGAUUAGAUACCCUAGUAGUCC
rnacentral:rRNA from 1 species